UGACCUCUGACCUCAAAUCAGGU
rnacentral:rRNA from 2 species